AGUAGUGUGCUUGACAAAAAGAUUGCUUUGAUGUAGCAAAAAUGAGGGACCCUUCCCUCCAUUACUA
rnacentral:tRNA from 1 species